CUGGAACUGGCUAGGUGGAAGUGCCCAGCCGUGGAGGCGUGUUGUGAAUCCAUCAUCACAAGAUCAUGAAUUCUGCAAGUGCCUGAGGGAGGUGGAAUGGACUUCUCCCUGGCUGUCCCCAGGGUCUCAUGUAAUGGAAGUUAGCCUUGAGCUCACUAUAUUGUCAAGAGUGACCUUGAUCAUGGAUCUCCUGCAUCUACCUCCCAAGUGUUGUGGAAUAAUCUUUUUGUACACUGACAGCACUGGAGACACAAGAUGGACUCAUGUGGAAUAAGGCUGCAGCUUGCAGCUGAAAAGGAAAGUAGCUGAUGGAUGCUGUUCCCCCGCCACACUGGCCCUUCCUUGGUGCAGUGGCAGCCUCCAGCCGCCUCUCUCCUAGGCAUCUCUUGUGGAUUUAUUAAUGCCAGAAGCUUUUUCUUGGU